CCUACGGGAGGCAGCAGUGAGGAAUAUUGGACAAUGGGCGCGAGCCUGAUCCAGCCAGCCGCGUGCAGGAAGACGGCCCUAUGGGUUGUAAACUGCUUUUAUACGGGAAGAAACACUCNGACGUGUAGGAGCUUGACGGUACCGUAAGAAUAAGGAUCGGCUAACUCCGUGCCAGCAGCCGCGGUAAUACGGAGGAUCCGAGCGUUAUCCGGAAUCAUUGGGUUUAAAGGGUCCGUAGGCGGAUUAGUAAGUCAGCGGUGAAANCCGGCAGCUUAACUGUAGAAUUGCCGUUGAUACUGGUAAUCUUGAAUUAAAGUGAAGUGGUUGGAAUAUGUAGUGUAGCGGUGAAAUGCAUAGAUAUUACAUGGAACACCAAUUGCGAAGGCAGAUCACUAACAGUACAUUGACGCUGAUGGACGAAAGCGUGGGGAGCAAACAGGAUUAGAUACCCUGGUAGUCCACGCCGUAAACGAUGGAUACUAGUUGUUUGUGUACCUUCGGCUANGAGUGGCUAAGCGAAAGUGAUAAGUCNC
rnacentral:rRNA from 1 species